rnacentral:rRNA from 1 species
CAGUCGCCACGGUAAUACGUAGGUGGCGAGCGUUGUCCGGAUUUAUUGGGCGUAAAGGGAGUGUAGGCGGUCUUUUAAGUCUGAUGUGAAAGCCCACGGCUCAACCGUGGAGGGUCAUUGGAAACUGGGAGACUUGAGUGCAGAAGAGGAGAGCGGAAUUCCAUGUGUAGCGGUGAAAUGCGUAGAUAUAUGGAGGAACACCAGUGGCGAAGGCGGCUCUCUGGUCUGUAACUGACGCUGAGGCUCGAAAGCGUGGGGAGCAAACAGGAUUAGAUACCCGGGUAGUCCCUGUCUCUUAUAC